rnacentral:rRNA from 1 species
UACGGAGGGUGCAAGCGUUGUCCGGAUUUAUUGGGUUUAAAGGGUACGUAGGCGGGUGUCUAAGUCAGUGGUGAAAGCCUACAGCUCAACUGUGGAAUUGCCAUUGAUACUGGAUGUCUUGAGUAUAGUUGAGGUGGGCAGAAUUCAUGGUGUAGCGGUGAAAUGCAUAGAUACCAUGAGGAAUACCGAUAGGGAAGCCAGCUCACUGGACUAUUACUGACGCUAAGGUACGAAAGCGUGGGGAGCGAACAGG